rnacentral:tRNA from 1 species
UGCCUAAUAGUUAAAAUUAGAUAAUGUUAAAUUGCAAAUUUGAAGUAGCUUAAUGCUUAGGCUU